rnacentral:rRNA from 1 species
GAUGAACGCUGGCGGCGUGCCUAAUACAUGCAAGUCGAGCGAACAGACGAGGAGCUUGCUCCUCUGACGUUAGCGGCGGACGGGUGAGUAACACGUGGAUAACCUACCUAUAAGACUGGGAUAACUUCGGGAAACCGGAGCUAAUACCGGAUAAUAUAUUGAACCGCAUGGUUCAAUAGUGAAAGACGGUUUUGCUGUCACUUAUCGAUGGAUCCGCGCCGCAUUAGCUAGUUGGUAAGGUAACGGCUUACCAAGGCAACGAUGCGUAGCCGACCUGAGAGGGUGAUCGGCCACCCUGGACCGGGGACACGCUCCAGACUCCUACGGGAGGCAGAGGUAGGGAAUCUUCGGAAAGGGGCGAAGGCCUAACGGGGCAACGCCGCGUGAAGGAUGAAGGUCUUCGAUUCGUAAAACUCUGUGAUUAGGGAGGAACAAAUGUGUAAGUAACUAUGCACGUCUUGACGGUACCUAAUCAGAAAGCCACGGCUAACUACGUG